UACGUAGGGGGCAAGCGUUGUCCGGAUUUAUUGGGCGUAAAGAGCGUGUAGGCGGUCAGGUAGGUCCGUUGUGAAAACUCGAGGCUCAACCUCGAGACGCCGAUGGAAACCAUCUGACUAGAGUCCGGAAGAGGAGAGUGGAAUUCCUGGUGUAGCGGUGAAAUGCGCAGAUAUCGGGAAGAACACCCGUGGCGAAAGCGACUUUCUGGACAGAUACUGACACUGAGGCACGAAAGCAUGGGUAGCAAACAGG
rnacentral:rRNA from 1 species